rnacentral:rRNA from 1 species
UAACGCGUGGGUAACCUGCCUCAUACAGGGGGAUAACAGUUAGAAAUGACUGCUAAAACCGCAUAAGCGCACAGCAUCGCAUGAUGCAGUGUGAAAAACUCCGGUGGUAUGAGAUGGACCCGCGUCUGAUUAGCUGGUUGGUGAGGUAACGGCCCACCAAGGCGACGAUCAGUAGCCGGCCUGAGAGGGUGACCGGCCACAUUGGGACUGAGACACGGCCCAA